rnacentral:rRNA from 1 species
UACGUAGGGUGCAAGCGUUAAUCGGAAUUACUGGGCGUAAAGCGUGCGCAGGCGGUUUUGUAAGUCUGUUGUGAAAGCCCCGGGCUCAACCUGGGAAUUGCGAUGGAGACUGCAAGGCUUGAAUCUGGCAGAGGGGGGUAGAAUUCCACGUGUAGCAGUGAAAUGCGUAGAGAUGUGGAGGAACACCGAUGGCGAAGGCAGCCCCCUGGGUCAAGAUUGACGCUCAUGCACGAAAGCGUGGGGAGCAAACAGG